UGCUGACAAAGCUCUCCAGGGGCUGGAGGUUUUACGGUGGGAACUUCUAUUACUUUUCACAAGAAAGGAAGUGGUGGGACGAUGCCGAGCGGUUCUGUGUGUCUCAGGACUCGCACCUGACCUCUGUCUCCUCCCAGGCAGAACAGGAGUUUCUCUCCAAGGAGACCAAGGGAGAAGAUCACUGGAUUGGACUCACCGACCGGGGGACAGAAGGCAGCUGGUGCUGGGUGGAUGGCACAGAAUACAGAGCAGACGCAAGCAGGGGGUUCUUGGAGGAGAAUCAGCCAGACAACUGGCAUCAGGGGACAGAAGGCAGAGAAGACUGUGUUGAGACCCGCUCAAGCAACCGGAAUUUGUGGAAUGAUGCCAACUGCACUCUGCCUUUCAGGAGGAUUUGUAAGCAGGCCCAUGGACAGGCUGGGUUAUGAAUAGUAUAUACCUCGAUAGUAUUCAUCACCAUGUAUUUUUGACAGGUUUCCAUGCUCCAUUUAGGGCUUAUGUCCUGCCCUCUGUUCUCGUUUCUGUUGGUGUCAAGGUUUGGUGCUGUUGGCCAUUUUGAAAAAAAAAGUUUGAUUAUUUUUUGUUUGGAUGGGGGAAUGUUGCGUGUGUGUGCUUUGAAACAUUUGGUUGAUUGUUUAAAGAAA